rnacentral:rRNA from 1 species
UACGUAGGGGGCGAGCGUUGUCCGGAUUCAUUGGGCGUAAAGAGCUCGUAGGCGGUUUGGCAAGUCGGGUGUGAAAUCUCUGGGCUCAACUCAGAGAGGCCACUCGAUACUGCUAUGACUAGAGUCCGGUAGGGGACCAUGGAAUUCCUGGUGUAGCGGUGAAAUGCGCAGAUAUCAGGAGGAACACCGGUGGCGAAGGCGACUCUUUGGCCUGUAACUGACGCUGAGGCGCGAAAGCGUGGGGAGCAAACAGG